rnacentral:rRNA from 1 species
UAAUACCGCAUACGAUCUACGGAUGAAAGCGGGGAUCGCAAGCCUCGCGCGAUUGGAGCGGCCGAUAUCAGAUUAGGUAGUUGGUGAGGUAAAGGCUCACCAAGCCGACGAUCUGUAGCUGGUCUGAGAGGACGACCAGCCACACUGGGACUGAGACACGGCCCAGACUCCUACGGGAGGCAGCAGUGGGGAAUUUUGGACAAUGGGCGCAAGCCUGAUCCAGCAAUGCCGCGUGCAGGAUGAAGGCCUUCGGGUUGUAAACUGCUUUUGUACGGAACGAAACGGUGAGCUCUAAUACAGUUUGCUAAUGACGGUACCGUAAGAAUAAGCACCGGCUAACUACGUG